rnacentral:rRNA from 1 species
AGUGAACGCUGGCGGUAGGCCUAACACAUGCAAGUCGAACGGCAGCACAGUAAGAGCUUGCUCUUACGGGUGGCGAGUGGCGGACGGGUGAGGAAUACAUCGGAAUCUACUUUUUCGUGGGGGAUAACGUAGGGAAACUUACGCUAAUACCGCAUACGACCUACGGGUGAAAGCAGGGGAUCUUCGGACCUUGCGCGAUUGAAUGAGCCGAUGUCGGAUUAGCUAGUUGGCGGGGUAAAGGCCCACCAAGGCGACGAUCCGUAGCUGGUCUGAGAGGAUGAUCAGCCACACUGGAACUGAGACACGGUCCAGACUCCUACGGGAGGCAGCAGUGGGGAAUAUUGGACAAUGGGCGCAAGCCUGAUCCAGCCAUACCGCGUGGGUGAAGAAGGCCUUCGGGUUGUAAAGCCCUUUUGUUGGGAAAGAAAAGCAGCAGGUUAAUACCCCGCUGUUCUGACGGUACCCAAAGAACAAGCACCGGCUAACUCCGUG